CUCUCUCUCUCUCUCUCUCUCUCUCUCUCUGUCUCUCAGAGAGGGCAGGAAAAGAGAGACAGGGAAUGUAGAGAGUAGAGAGCUGCAAUGACUUGCUGCAAAGGAUGGAGGUCGGAUUCAAACCCAUUUGGUUUAGACCAAAAUUGCAAUCGACAAGUCAGACCUUGCGAAAGUUGGAAAUCAGAAUCAGCUGAAGAUUUUUAAAUCUGGACGUGUCAGCAUAAAUUCAACCUUGUGCAGGUCGGGUACUUGGCUGCUGACUAUUUCUAUUUUAAGUAUUAAUUUCAACCACUCAUUGGAGCUGGUUGGUCGCAGAAGAAGAGUGCUGGAACAGAAAGGAGAAGACAAAAGGCUUUUCACCAACAUUGUGAGACUGUAUCUGUAUGUUCACUGAAUGCCUUACUCUAAUUCAAUUAUCUAAAUUAUCUCUCUCUCCUCAGGCUGCGCCGGUCACCUAAGGCUUCACCUUACAAAGACAAAGCAGCAGGGACCCCACGGUCCAGCCACACCAGCCCCCUGUUCCCGUCUACUGCUGGCCCGUCCAGCAGCACCAAGAAGCGCCGCCUCAGUGGCAAUCACGGCGAAACCUCUGGCGUGGCCGGAGGCACCGUGACCAAGACUCGCAUCAAGUGGCACGCAUCAGCCUAUGGCCGUAUUACAGUAGACGAGGUCGACCUGGAUGGCAAGUUUAUCCGUCUCAGCAACAAGACUGACGAGGACCAAGUUCUCAGCAACUGGCGCUUGAAGAGACAAGUUGGAAGUUCUCCCCCCAUUGAUUACAAGUUUCACAAGGGCUUCACUUUGAUGUCUGGAGGAACUGUCACUGAAAGCACCCACAGUGUGGAGAGGGAUUACAAUUUACAGAGCCGCACAACCAUCUCUGAGAGAGAUGUACGCAAUAGGGGGGGUCCAUCUGAUGACCUUUAGGGAGAUUCUUAAUUCAUGGAAACCAUCGAACCCAGACAGGUACUGUCCAGUUAUUGUUUUAAAACAUGGAUAACAGGAAUAACAUAAUCAGCAUGUGUUAUGAGAAUAUUACUUGUAUUUCAUUUUCUAACUAAUUGGCAAUGUUUGUAAGAAUCUAAAUAAACUGAAACAGAUCUUUGAAAAAGAAUUCAUCAUAUAUUUUAGUAUUAAGAAAUUAAGAUUGAUGAAAUUAUUCCAGAUCUCAAAGUCUUUGAAAGAUUUAAUACAGUCACAGAAAUACUUUCCCGCAGUACAAUUCCACAGGAAAAUCUAGAAUCUGAAAACACUCACAGAACUAAAAAGAUGAACUCAAAAUGAUCCUUAUUUGAAGCCACUUUUCUAUCGAGAGUGCACACUUGGCCACCCCUCUGGAUGCUACUGAAUGCUUAGUAUUAUAAACGUAGAGGAUUGCAAAUCAACCAUCUCGUACAUCCUCUGAAGGAGUGCAAACACUUAUUUUCCAACUCGUUCUCACAGACCUUGUUUUUUUUCCAGGGAAAUAUGACAAACAUGAAAACAACAUGCUUAAAUGUGAUUAAUGUAAUUUUUUUCUUAAUGAUGCAGUUAUGCCUCAAAUACUUUGCUUGUAAAAAAAAAAAAAAAAAGUGAUUGGAGGAGCCAGUAUGCAUACACAAUAAGAAAGGCAUCACUUCAGCCUCAUUUUGAGCCAGAAAAAAACCUGGUGCAGUUUUCCUGUUUUAAUUUUUCUCUUUUUCAAUCCCUGAUUCGGGGCGGUGCGAGGUGCGAGGCUGGAUGGUUAUCUGUUAAACCAGAUAACACCUCAUGGGAACCCUAUGGAGAAUGGUUUUCUCGAGUCAGGAUGUUUCAUCUACAUUUAUCACAUUUUUUUUUGUACUCUGAUUUCCACAGGGUAACUUUGAUUUGACGUUAAAAGGAAAGGGCACAUGAUUUUCAUAUUGAGUCUUUUGAGAAUGAGCCCUGUGGUGUUUGUUAGUCUGUGUUUAUCGCCCAUUGAAUAGAUCAAAUCUUGAUUCAGCAUGUGGGAUGUUUAUAGAUGACGUUUGAUUUACUUGUUUUUUUAAAUCAUAUUGUGCUAUUUUUUUUUUAUACUUUUUUAUACUUUAUAGAAAAAAUCAGGUUCGAAAUGUGUCCAAAAUAAGUUGAAGUACUGUAAGCUUUGGAUGCUCUGCAGGCUGUUUUUCAUCUGAGCGGUAAGGCUGGGCGAUAUGGACAAAAUGAUCGUCUUUUGUUGUUUAGAAGAAUGGCGAUACUCAAUUUAUAUAUUUUAUUUUCAGUUAAUAAUUUCAAUUCCGCAUGGGCCAGAUGUCACACAGUCAUUUUUAUUAACAGCCAGCUGCACAAUGUCAACAUGUAGGAUGAAAAAUGACCCCAAAAUCUUCUUCAUGUAAAAAAAAAUGCCCCUUAAAGGUCGAUUCAGAUUAAAUGUUUGUUUCAGCUUGUGAACACAACUUUUAAACUGGGCCCCUCCUCAUGGGCUCUUUGCCCCCAGAAGCACACACUCACUGCAGGACUGUGUGUGUUCAUGUACUGCCUGUAGCCUACCUACACUGCAAGCUACCUGAGAAUAUAUAUUUUAUUGUGACGGUGUAGGACUAGAUGUGCUCGGGUGGUCAGAUGUGAUCCGGGGUCCUUUGCCUGCAGUCUCAUGACUGUCAGCCAUACUCUGGUUUUUGCUGCUUCUGAGAACAGGACAUAAGGGCUCAUAUUUCUAAUCUCCUUUCAGCUCACUGGCUAUAAAUUUCCCCUGGCAUGAUUUGGGAGACUGAGUGGGAUUGUGGGAUUUGUAUUCUUUGUGAUUUGUGACAAUCAUAGCAAAGCAUUCAAUUGAAAAUACUUGAUCUUUGAUGAUGGUCUUUAUCUUAUCUGGUGUACUUUAUGGACACUAUGCUGUAAUGUAUUCUUUUUGUAUUAUUAUUAUUGUAGCCUGGCAGAUUUUUUUCCCUACUGUACUUAAUCAGAGCAAAAAAAAUGUUACAGUAGAUCCUCUUUUAUUCCUUAAUCAAACAUCUGAUUUUGACACUGAUCACUAAAGUGCCUUAAAAAGUUUAUGACAAUCAAUAAAGUGGUUUAAUCAAAUGUGUUUUGUUUUGGUCUCUAAAGCAUUUUUCUCAUAUGCACUCCUGAAAAUAUCUAGA